rnacentral:lncRNA from 1 species
GGAAAGGCAGCCGAGCCGGCUGCAGGCUGGGGCCGGCAGGAUUAACCCCGGGCAGCAGCAGCGGUGGCCGGGGGGCUCCCUGCGGAGCGGGCAUCGUGGCCUUUGCGAAGCGCCUUCAGCCCCCUCCCUGCCCGGCCGGCGGGAGCGGAGAGGCGCCGGCCCGGCUCCCCACGGGCUGCAUGCGGGAGGGGGCCAGGGCGAGCCGCCGCCGCCUGCCCCCAGCCCCGUAGCCCGCUCCCCGGGGGCUGCGCCGGGCUCGGCUCGGGACCAUGCGGCCGGCAGAACACCCGGAGCUGCAGGAGAACUGGGCCACCAUGAACGGACCCGGGGAGCCGACGCGCCCUUGCGCCCCUUGAGAGAAACGCCCGACCCCGAAGAGGCAACGAGGUCGAUGCCAGGACGCUGCUGGUGUUUCUGCUCUGCCAGGGGACUCUGAAUGGAUUUGCCAUGGUGACAUGAAAAAGACAGGGGGGAUACCCGACUGCCGGCUGGGAGAUCCUACACACGCACACGCAGCCUGCUAGUAUUUUAAUUUAUUACUGUGCUUUCCUGUGAAGGGGGUUGAG